GACGGACGCUGGCGGCGUGCCUAAUACAUGCAAGUAGAACGCUGAAGGAGGAGCUUGCUUCUCUGGAUGAGUUGCGAACGGGUGAGUAACGCGUAGGUAACCUGCCUGGUAGCGGGGGAUAACUAUUGGAAACGAUAGCUAAUACCGCGUAAUAGUAGAUGUUGCAUGACAUUUGCUUAAAAGGUGCAAUUGCAUCACUACCAGAUGGACCUGCGUUGUAUUAGCUAGUUGGUGGGGUAACGGCUCACCAAGGCGACGAUACAUAGCCGACCUGAGAGGGUGAUCGGCCACACUGGGACUGAGACACGGCCCAGACUCCUACGGGAGGCAGCAGUAGGGAAUCUUCGGCAAUGGACGGAAGUCUGACCGAGCAACGCCGCGUGAGUGAAGAAGGUUUUCGGAUCGUAAAGCUCUGUUGUAAGAGAAGAACGAGUGUGAGAGUGGAAAGUUCACACUGUGACGGUAUCUUACCAGAAAGGGACGGCUAACUACGUG
rnacentral:rRNA from 1 species